UUGGCCUCGGAUAAGGGUAUCAA
rnacentral:rRNA from 1 species